AACGGCUGGCGGCGUGCCUAAUACAUGCAAGUCGAACGGUCUUUCUAUGGAAGCUGCUUCCGACUGAGAAGAUAGUGGCGAACGGGUGAGUAACACGUGGGUAACCUGCCCAUAAGAGGGGGAUAACAUCCGGAAACGGGUGCUAAUACCGCAUAGUUUUCUUGAUCGCAUGAUCGGGAAAGGAAAGACGGCCUUUGUGCUGUCGCUUAUGGAUGGACCCGCGGCGUAUUAGUUAGUUGGUGAGGUAACGGCUCACCAAGACGAUGAUACGUAGCCGACCUGAGAGGGUGAUCGGCCACAUUGGGACUGAGACACGGCCCAAACUCCUACGGGAGGCAGCAGUAGGGAAUCUUCCGCAAUGGACGAAAGUCUGACGGAGCAACGCCGCGUGAGUGAAGAAGGUUUUCGGGAAUCGUAAAACUCUGUUGUCAGAGAAGAACAAGUUGGAGAGUAACUGCUCCAGCCUUGACGGUAUCUGACCAGAAAGCCACGGCUAACUACGUGCCAGCAGCUGC
rnacentral:rRNA from 1 species